CAGUCGCCACGGUAAUACAGAGGGUGCGAGCGUUAAUCGGAUUUACUGGGCGUAAAGCGUGCGUAGGCGGCUUCUUAAGUCGGAUGUGAAAUCCAUGAGCUUAACUUAGGAAUUGCAUUCGAUACUGGGAAGCUAGAGUAUGGGAGAGGAUGGUAGAAUUCCAGGUGUAGCGGUGAAAUGCGUAGAGAUCUGGAGGAAUACCGAUGGCGAAGGCAGCCAUCUGGCCUAAUACUGACGCUGAGGUACGAAAGCAUGGGGAGCAAACAGGAUUAGAUACCCGGGUAGUCCCUGUCUCUUAUAA
rnacentral:rRNA from 1 species